CUCACUGAAAGGAGAUGUUUCUCUUUCUGUUGAGGUAACUACUGUACUGAAAAAUCCCAGUGGAGGCAAAGAACCACAGGAAGACAAAGCCCCAAGGUGAAUAACCUCUGCAUCUCCAGGAGAUUCACCUUAGACAAGAGAAAGCAUGAGUUGAGCAUUUUUCCAAAGCCACAAAAUGCUAGUUAAUGGAAUGGGAGUGACUUCUGGACCCACCCCUUUCUUAUUUUUAACAUACUGUUAACUGGGCAAACAAACAGAUUUGC